rnacentral:rRNA from 1 species
AUGCACGCUGGCGGCGUGCCUAAUACAUGCAAGUCGAGCGAACGGACGAGAAGCUUGCUUCUCUGAUGUUAGCGGCGGACGGGUGAGUAACACGUGGAUAACCUACCUAUAAGACUGGGAUAACUUCGGGAAACCGGAGCUAAUACCGGAUAAUAUUUUGAACCGCAUGGUUCAAAAGUGAAAGACGGUCUUGCUGUCACUUAUAGAUGGAUCCGCGCUGCAUUAGCUAGUUGGUAAGGUAACGGCUUACCAAGGCAACGAUGCAUAGCCGACCUGAGAGGGUGAUCGGCCACACUGGAACUGAGACACGGUCCAGACUCCUACGGGAGGCAGCAGUAGGGAAUCUUCCGCAAUGGGCGAAAGCCUGACGGAGCAACGCCGCGUGAGUGAUGAAGGUCUUCGGAUCGUAAAACUCUGUUAUUAGGGAAGAACAUAUGUGUAAGUAACUGUGCACAUCUUGACGGUACCUAAUCAGAAAGCCACGGCUAACUACGU